rfam:Clostridium baratii str. Sullivan, complete genome.
AGAAGAGAUAGAGGCGCGAGAUUCAAGAGUACUAUUACUGAGUUAAGCACAGUGAUGUAAUAGGAAAGGGGAUAUCGCCGAAGGAUACAGCUAAUGCUUUGAGGUUGUAAUCCUGGGUUUAUGGAUAAUAUUCAUAAGACUGUCACAGAUUGAAUUUGUGGUGAGCUAUCAUUCAA